GAUGGACGCUGGCGGCGUGCCUAAUACAUGCAAGUCGAGCGAACGGACGAGAAGCUUGCUUCUCUGAUGUUAGCGGCGGACGGGUGAGUAACACGUGGAUAACCUACCUAUAAGACUGGGAUAACUUCGGGAAACCGGAGCUAAUACCGGAUAAUAUUUUGAACCGCAUGGUUCAAAAGUGAAAGACGGUCUUGCUGUCACUUAUAGAUGGAUCCGCGCUGCAUUAGCUAGUUGGUAAGGUAACGGCUUACCAAGGCAACGAUGCAUAGCCGACCUGAGAGGGUGAUAGGCCACACUGGAACUGAGACACGGUCCAGACUCCUACGGGAGGCAGCAGUAGGGAAUCUUCCGCAAUGGGCGAAAGCCUGACGGAGCAACGCCGCGUGAGUGAUGAAGGUCUUCGGAUCGUAAAACUCUGUUAUUAGGGAAGAACAUAUGUGUAAGUAACUGUGCACAUCUUGAAGGUACCUAAUCAGAAAGCCACGGCUAACUACGUGC
rnacentral:rRNA from 1 species